CGAGGAUUCCCUUAGUAACUGCGAGUGAAAGGGGAAAAGCCCAGCGCUGAAUCCUUCAGCCACUGGCUGCUAGGAAUUGUAGCGUAUAGGUGCGACUGUCCGUUCGUUUCGUGCACCCAAAGUCCCCUUGAGCGGGGCUAUAGUCCAAAGAAGGUGCUAGACCUGUACGGGUGGCGAAGCGAACGGUUGGUUGCUCCUUGGAGUCGGGUUGCCUGGGAUCGCAGCCCAAAGUUGGUGGUAGACCUCAUCUAAGGCUAAAUAUGGCCACGAAACCGAUAGCAAACAAGUACCGUGAGGGAAAGUUGCAAAGAACUUUGAAGAGAGAGUUCAAGAGGGCGUGAAACCGUUGAGAUUGAAACGGAUAGAGUUAACGAAACUCGGCUGCAUUCAUCCGAUCGGCCUAAUGGAUCAAUAGCGUUCGCAUCCUCGAUGAGGGCAACGUUAUCGUUAACUAUUGGGUAAUUGAUCGGUGUAUUUGCGGCUGGUAUGCGCUGAGAGUUUUGUGAUCGCAUGUUAACGGGUGUGCAGUGGACCAUUCCUUCCGGGUGUGGAAACCUUCACAUCUUUAGGCAUGUCGAUUAUAAAGUUUUGAACGUGGCGUCUCCGCUAUUGUGCGUCGGCUUAUGCGUACUAUUGUGAUUAUUGAAUAUUCGCAUGCGAAUAUUUGUAGUUAACGAUAUUGCGACAAAAGUGCGGACGCGUUGAGACGUGUAUCUCGGUGUGAACGUUGACCACCUAUCCGA
rnacentral:rRNA from 1 species